GUGAAGCGUUUUCCGGUUUCCUCUCAAUUAGCUUCAGAGCUAGAACAUGUCUGUGAGCUCAGAGUGAAACUCCCCCCGGCAGACCUCCGGGAGAGCCGCCGAGGACGCGGAGGGCAGGCCGAGCUGCGGGCCUCGGUGCCGGCAUGUCGGGGCUCCGGAGCCGGGCCUGAGCUGCGGGUUGACCCGGAACGUUCAUAUGACGAGUCCGCCGUUCGGAGCGGGAUGCUAGCAGGAAAUUAGCCCGUUAGCAUCGAGUGUUAUGAGGAUAAAGUUUUAGAGUCUGUGGUUUUUUUGAAGCGCGGGCUGAGUGUGGUUCCUCCUCCGAGCCAUGGACACCGAGGCCAUCGUGAUCCGGAUCAAGACCCCGUCCGGGGACAUGGACUCCUCCGUGGACUGCCCGGCUCUGCUCAACUUCAAUGACUUACUGGUUGCCAUCAGAGACGUGAUGCCCGAAGCCACCGUCACCGCCUUCGAAUAUGAAGACGAGGUGGGAGACCGGAUCACUGUGAGAAGUGACGAAGAGCUCAAAGCGAUGCUAUCAUAUUACUACAACACGGCCAGUGAGCAGCGUGUGAACGGGCUGCUGCCGGACCCGCUGCAGAUCUUCCCCAGAGCCGGCAAGACUCCAGGGAUCCGGAACAUACAUGGCCUGAAGGUGAAUACCAGACCCAGCCCGGCGAACGACUGCAGCCGUGCCGUCCCCGACUCCAUCGCCAACAACAGCUUGAAGAAGUCGUCUGCGGAGCUGAAGAGGAUCCUGACCAACGGCCAGAUGAACGCUCAGGACAUCAGCUACCAGGAGCAGCUGGGCCACGGGAACGGAGGCACGGUGUACAAGGCGUUCCACGUCCUGAGCCGGCGGGUUCUGGCCGUCAAGGUCAUCCCUCUGGACAUCACAGCGGAGCUGCAGAAGCAGAUCAUGUCUGAACUGGAGAUCCUCUACAAGUGUGACUCUCCCUACAUCAUCACCUUCUUCAGUGCCUUCUUCGUGGAGAACCGGAUCUCCAUCUGCACAGAGUUCAUGGACGGAGGAUCGCUGGACGUCUACAAAAGAAUUCCCGAACACGUGCUGGGGAGGAUCGCCGUCGCCGUAGUCAAAGGCCUGACGUAUCUGUGGAGCCUGAAGAUUCUUCACAGAGACGUCAAGCCGUCCAACAUGCUGGUGAACACCCGGGGACAAGUCAAGCUCUGCGACUUUGGCGUCAGCACACAGCUGGUCAACUCCAUCGCCAAGACCUACGUGGGGACGAACGCCUACAUGGCGCCGGAGAGGAUUUCAGGAGAGCAAUACGGGAUCCACGCCGACGUGUGGAGUGUCGGCAUCUCCUUCAUGGAGCUGGCUCUGGGGAUGUUCCCCUACCCGCAGAUCCAGAAGAACCAGGGAUCUGUGAUGCCUCUCCAGUUACUGCAGUGCAUCGUUGAUGAGGACCCUCCGGUUCUCCCUGUGGGCCCGUUCAGUGAGACGUUCGUCCACUUCGUCACUCAGUGCAUGCGGCGGCUCCCCAAAGAGAGACCUGCACCUAAUAACCUCAUGGAUCACGCCUUCAUCGUCCAGUUCAACGACGGCAACGCCGAGGUGGUCUCCAUGUGGGUGUGUCGCUGUCUGGAGGAGAGGCGGGCUCAGCAGGCUCAGGGCCGGGUCUGAGGGCCAGCCGGGACCAGCCGGGACCCUCAGGGACCAGCCGGGACCCUCAGGGGCCAGCCGGGACCCUCAGGGGCCAGCCGGGACCAGCCGGGACCCUCAGGGGCCAGACCGGAUUUCCCAGGACCAAACCUGUGUCACGCUCCUCAUGUUUGUGCUCCUCCAUUGGACCUGGAGCAGGACUCUGAGGGUCCAGGAUCAGCUGGGGAGGAACAGACUGCAUCAUGAACCGGGAUCAUAUCCCAUGUGUUAGAGGUUUACUAGACCCCCCCCCCCCCCACCCCCCCACCCCCCACCACACACACACACACACACACUCUCAAAGUGUCUUACUCUGAGCAGCCCGGCCUCCUCUGGGUCCCGGGCCUCAUGUUGGGGGCGUGUCCCUGGGAGUAGCUGCCCGUCAUGUGCCUGUUUGGAACAGUUGUGUCAUUUAUUACCUCACAAGGAAAACGACCCUGGCUCCAGCUGCUGACAGAGGUCAGAGGUCAACGUCCGACUUCAGGCUCCUUUCUGUCACACCGAACCCAAAGCUCUGGCCCUGGAUCGCCUCUGGCCCUGGAUCGCCUCUGGUCCUGGAUCACCUCUGGUCCUGGAUCGCCUCUGGCCCUGGAUCGCCUCUGGUCCUGGAUCGCCUCUGGCCCUGGAUCGCCUCUGGUCCUGGAUCGCCUCUGGCCCUGGAUCGCCUCUGGUCCUGGAUCGCCUCUGGUCCUGGAUCGCCUCUGGUCCUGGAUCGCCUCUGGUCCUGGAUCAGCUCUGGUCCUGGAUCGCCUCUGGUCCUGGAUCGCCUCUGGUCCUGGAUCGCCUCUGGCCCUGGAUCGCCUCUGGUCCUGGAUCGCCUCUGGUCCUGGAUCGCCUCUGGUCCUGGAUCGCCGUCUUUGUAGUUUUCAGGAAAGUGUCAGAUUCACACGGCGACGCUGUCCGUUUCCAUGGAAACAGCAGAAACACUGAAAACGAUGUGGUUACAUGUUGUACCAAAAGUUGUUUUUCUGAUGAAACCACACACACUUGACAGAAGGAUCUAAACACGCUCUUCAUUUCAGAUGUAAUCUGUAAUCUGUAAUCUGUAAUCUGCUCUCAUGAUAAACUCUUCACUGUAAAAACGAACUGAAGCUGCUGGGAUGUUUAUCGGGAAACGUCAGAGGAUCGGAGCGGCUCUGCUUCAGGUUACCGUCAUCGAUAGAACAUCAUCUAUUAGGGGUGUAACGAAAUUUCGCGAAAUAAAAAAAUGACCAAAUUAAAAUUCAAAGACGCACAAAAUAAUUGCACAAAAAAAACCGCAAAAGGCCGCCGCGCAUGAACUGAUGAGUUUUGACCCUCCUCGCCUACCGUAGCAAAAUGGAGGAAGACGAAGUUGAAUUAGCUGGCGCUCCUCCGUCUAAUGUGGACCUAUUUUGGCUUCCCAAGUAAACGACGAGAGGGCGGCGAGAAGGUUGCGGAUGAAGCAAGAACCGUGUGCAAAAUAUGCCGCGACGCUGAUUUGAUGUUUUUUUCAAAGAGACUUUAUUUUGUGUUGAUGCAGCAUUAUGUGUUGUACGUCUGCAUAAAGAAUAAAAUA